GUUCUUAUGGACGACCAUAAAGAAAUUGAAGCCAUUGAAGAGUUGUCCAAAGCCAUAGCAUUUAAACCUGACCUCCAGCUUUUACAUCUCCGAGCAGCAUUCUUCGCUUCGAUGCGUGAAACUACAGACGCUAUCAGAGACUGUGAAGCAGCUUUGAGUAUUGAUCCAUGCCACAAAGAUACCAUCAACCUCUAUCACAAAGUACGUGAACCACAGGCAUAGGCAAACCCAUCUGCCAACUUAUAUAUAUCCUAAACUAUGGCGAGAGCUUCUUUCAUCUAAAACCACAUAUACUUGUAUGGCUAUGCCAUUUCAUAUCCAUUACGGAACAUUCCCAUGGGAAACUAAGCCUGGUUCUUUUGUGAUCAAUAAGUUUUGAUAGAAAGAGCUGGGAGCAAACCAAAAGGAGCAGCGACAUAGAAUGUAAAUAUAACUUCAUACUUUGGGUUUUGGGAUUGAUUCUGGUUUGAUGACUGGAUAAGGUUAAUAUAUGAUUAGUGCAGAGUGUGUUCUGCACAAAACAGAACACGAAAAAGAUUGUUAUGCCAUGUUUUGUUUUUAGAUAUCUCACUUCGUGUUGCUUCUUCUUUUCCUUCUUUCAUAUUUUUAAUGUGUUAUUGUGUAUGUAACUUCAUUCUUCUCAUGAUCGUUAUAUUGAUUCUCAGACAACUGAGAUUUUUUCCCUUGCAAAACAAUAAACAUAGAAGUCAGUAAUCAAUCAUCACCAUAGAAAUUGUACACAUAAAACCCAUGUAAGAACCUUCCUGUUUUGAGCACACAAAUUGGACAUUAAAUAAGCCCUAGAAAUAUGUAAGUAGUCGUUUCUUUGUAUUUUGAAAGUUGAAACAACAAUUCCAUAUUUUUAUACCUUUGUUUAAAGUAUGAAAAAUGUACAAUGGACUUUCAAACAACUAGAAAAUUGGGUUGUUCAAACAUUGUUGUUGUUCAUAACAAAACAUAAGCAAAAUAUUAGUAAACAUUAGCAAAAUAUAAGCAAAAUAUGAGUAAACGUUAGCAAAAUAUAAGAAAACAAUCUAAGUGGAAUGCAUGCCCCCACAUAUCGUAUAUGACAUUGGAUGCUAAUUAUACUAAAGCAGACAUUACAUUCACUUUCCCCAUGCACAAACAUGAAAUUUCCCACAAAAUGUUUAAAACCUUUUGACUUGAAAUCAACUCAACACAUUUGAUACACAGACUUUCUUUCCUCAAAUUAUUUGUUUUCAACUUAAUACAUUACUUAGUCAUGUAGUUCUUUUUUCAGAAUUUUUGGCUAAAAUAUAUACGCAAAAAUAUGUAUUCAUUUAUUCAAAAAUACAUACAAGACAUUGGUUUGUUUAUAAAACGGAUGGAGUAUGCAUUACCAUAUAUUCUCUUGCUUCUUUGUCAUUAACGACACAUUUAAUUUAGUCUUCUCCGUAUCUUUUCUCUUGUUACAUGUUUCCCCUUUAUGUUUACAUAAAACAAUCAACAUUCUCUCUAGUUUAAUAUCUCCUCUCUGUAACAUCCUGGUUUUACUUGAACAUGUAAGUCUCUAUGUCAAAACAUCCAUGGAGAUCUCUGAAAAUUAGAGAUCACAUCAAAUAACUUUGUUAUACAAAACAGUUUAUUUUUCUUUUGAAUCAUUCAUUCAAAAAAAUACCUCUAGUGAAUGGUAAAUCAUCAUUAGAGCAAAAAAAAAAAAACAACAAUAGAAGAUCAUUGUUGACUCAGGAGCAAUGAGUAUAAUAAUUGUACAUCUCUGUUUCUAGUCAGUUAGAGAAGGUUAAAUGUAAAAGGUAGAAAACAAUCUCUUCUAAUUUUUCUCUGAAAUUUGAGGCCUAAUCCGUUGUUCUUAAAACUAAUGCCUUCACUUGUUUAAGCUUUCUUCAGUUGCUAUAUCAAGAACACUGCUUCUUUGGCUCUGUUGAAGCUCAAUCAAUUGAUAUUCCCUGAGAGCUUCCAUGUUCCCUUAUGCAAGAAUCUAGUCAAGUAACUGAAGUUAUAAACAUCAUGAUUCUGCACCCUGGUUUUAUUUCCAUAUAUAAACCAAUCAGAAUCACACAAAAGGAAAAUAAAAGACAAGCCCCCAAAUAAAAAGAGACCAAAAUAACAUAACAUUCGUUUUUAGAGAGAGAGAGAGAGAGACAAGAAACCAAAAGCUCAAGAGAGAGAAAGGUCAUUCGCCAAUUCCCUUCUCGCUAUUUUUAUGGACAUAAUGAGAGAAGAUGAUUGGAUUUGAUGGAAACUACACUGCGAAAACACGUUUUCUUCAGAACACGAAUCAAAAUUAAGGGAAGGAGAGAGAGAGAGAGAGAGAGAGAGACGAAGAGAAAUCUCUCGGUGGUCUCAGGUUCAGAGAUCUCCGGUGGGAUAUCCCAGCGUCAUCUCUAAUUUCCCGAAUAACCCAUUAACUCAAAAUCUCAGAUUAUCUAAACCCGACAACGAAAGUGUUCAUCUUUCGAAGACCAAAAUUCAAACACCAUCCAAAUUUAGAAACUUUCCUAAAAAGUUUCUCUAUUUUUCAUUUGAUUGAUCGAACAAGAUGCAUCCUAAUCUAUUCACAACAAUGCGAACGUUGAAAUUCAUCGAAGGAUGCAAAGCCACGGCUCUCAACCCUCCUCCGCCGCCACCUCCUCCCUCUACCACCGAAAGAGCCGGCGAAAAGCUCUUUCAGCAUCUCCAUGAUCACCUCCGAGUCAACUCGUUCCGUUCCAAAUCCACCCGGACUCAUCCACCUCCAAAUCAAAACGCCGCCGUUUCGAAAAACUCCCUCCUCCCAUACGGACUCCCCAACACGGACCUCCUCGAACCGCAGAUCGACCCUUCUCUCAAAUUCGUAGACUUGAUCGACAAGCUAGCCGAAGUCUACCGCCGCAUCGAGAACUCCUCGCAGUUCGAGAAAGCCGAGGCCUUUCUAGAGCAAUGCGCAAUCUUCCGAGGCUUAUUGGAUCCGAAACUUUUCCGGCGGAGUCUCCGGUCAGCUAGGCAGCACGCUGUUAACGUUCAUACCAAAGUUGUCUUAGCUUCUUGGCUACGUUACGAGAGGAGAGAAGAUGAGCUUAUAGGGACAACAUCGAUGGAUUGCUGCGGAAGAAACCUCGAAUGCCCUAAAGCGAGUCUCGUUUCCGGGUACGACCCGGAACGGGUGUACGAUCCAUGUAUUUGUUCUGGGUACAACGCUGACGUUGAUGUUGAAGAGUGUUCGACGUCAGAGGUAGAUUACGACAUGUCCUUCUGUAUAGGCGAUGAGGAAGUUCCUUGCGUGAGGUGCAAGAUAGCGUCUUUGUCAAUACCUUUUAAGGCUAUGUUAUACGGUGGCUUUAGAGAGACGAAGCGAAACACUAUCAACUUCACGCGGAACGGAAUCUCUGUGGAAGGGAUGAGAGCUGUUGAGAUGUUUAGUAGGGUUCGAAAAGUUGAGAUGUUUCCUCCCAAUGUUGUCUUGGAGCUACUCACAUUAGCGAACCAGUUCUGCUGCGACGAGUUGAAAGCAGCUUGUGACGUGUUUUUGGCUCGUCUUGUUAGUAAUUUCGAUGACGCGGUGUUGUUGAUUGAGUACGGUUUGGAGGAGGCUGCGUACCUUCUUGUGGCUGCUUGUCUUCAGGUUUUUCUAAGAGAGUUGCCUAACUCGAUGCGUAAUCCGAACGUUGUAAAGAUUCUCUGUAGCGUUGAGGGACGGGAAAGGCUGGCCUUGGUUGGGCAUGCUUCCUUUACGUUGUACCUUUUCUUAAGCCAGAUUGCUAUGGAAGACGAUAUGAAUUCAAACACAACGGUAAUGGUGUUAGAAUGUUUGGUUGAACAUGCGGUGGAGACUUGGCAGAGACAGCUCGCUUGUCACCAGUUAGGUGUUGUGAUGCUUGAGAGGAAAGAAUAUAAAGAUGCUCAGAGAUGGUUUAACUCAGCUGCCAAAGCAGGUCAUGUUUACUCCCUUGUCGGUGUAGCCAGGUCUAAGUUUAAGCUUGGCCAUCGAUACUCGGCUUAUAAGACCAUGAACUCGUUGAUAUCGGGUUGCUCAGCUACUGGAUGGAUGUACCAAGAGAGGUCUUUGUAUCGAAUCGGUGAAGAGAAGGUGCUUGAUAUAGACAUUGCCACGGAUUUGGACCCAACUUUGACUUUCCCUUACAAGUUCAGGGCAGUGUCAUUGGUCGAGGAGAGUCAGUUUGGUGCUGCGGUCGCGGAACUGAACAAGAUUCUGAGGUUUAAAGUCUCUCCUGACUGUUUAGAGAUGCGGGCGUGGAUUUCUAUAGCUAUGAAGAACUUUGAGGGUGCUUUGAAAGAUAUAAGAGCGCUUUUGACAUUGGAGCCUAACUUCUUGAUGUUUAACAAGAAAAUUCAUGGGGAUCAUAUGGUGGAACUCCUCCGGUCGCUGGUUCAGCGACGGAACCAGGCUGAUUGCUGGAUGCAGUUAUAUGAUCGUUGGUCUUCUGUUGAUGAUAUUGGAUCUCUAGCUGUUGUUCAUCAUAUGCUGGCUAAUGAUCCAGGGAAAAGCCUUUUGCGUUUCAGACAGUCUCUUCUUCUCUUAAGGUAGAACAUAACAUACUAUCUUCGUUCCACAACAAUAAAUAUUUUUGAAAAAAAUUGUUUCACAAAGAUAAAUUUUUAUGUUUUUAAAAUUUUUUAUUUUAUUUAAAUUUUAAACAAAUUAAUAGUUUUUAUUGAAUUAGUAUUGUUUAACUUUAUUGAGAACCGAAAAUUACAGAAAAUACUACAUUUAUAUUAUAAAUUUAAUGCGUUUUUGUUAUGUGUUAACAAAUGAAAAACAAUCAACUUGUGUGGAACAGAGGGAGUAUGUUUCAGUAAGACUAUAAAUGAUGUGUUUGGUUUCCUCUAAUUAUGUGAUAUUUCAGGCUAAAUUGUCAAAAGGCAGCAAUGCGUAGCCUUAGGCUGGCUAGAAACCAUUCAAAGUCGGAGCAUGAGAGACUUGUGUAUGAAGGAUGGAUACUGUAUGACACAGGCCACCGUGAGGAAGCUCUGGCCAAGGCUGAGGAAUCUGUUUCUAUACAAAGAUCUUUCGAAGCUUAUUUCCUUAAAGCUUAUGCUCUUGCAGACUCCACACUUGACCCUGAGUCCUCAAAGUAUGUCAUCCAGCUCCUUGAAGAAGCACUUAGAUGUCCAUCAGAUGGUCUUCGUAAGGGACAAGUAUGAGAAGAAACUGUUCCCCAUUCUAUUUAUCAUCCUCUGACUGCAAUUUCAUGAAGAGUUUCUGUUGUACUUGCAGGCUUUGAACAACUUGGGAAGUGUAUACGUUGACUGUGGUAAGCUGGAUCUUGCAGCUGAUUGCUACAAGAACGCACUAACCAUCAAGCACACACGAGCUCACCAAGGCCUGGCUCGUGUUUACCAUCUGAAAAGCCAAAGGAAAGAUGCGUAUAAUGAGAUGACAAAGUUGAUAGAGAAAGCUCAGGACAAUGCAUCGGCCUUUGAGAAGCGUUCAGAGUGUUGUGACCGAGAGGUGGCACAGAGAGACCUAGUGAUGGCGACACAGCUAGAUCCUCUGAGAACUUACCCAUACAGAUACAGAGCCGCAGGUGUGCUAAGUUUCACAGCCAUUUCUUGUUUCUUAUUACUGUUUUUUCUUGAAAACUAAUCCUCAUGAUAUUUUGUUCAUAGUUCUUAUGGACGACCAUAAAGAAAUUGAAGCCAUUGAAGAGUUGUCCAAAGCCAUAGCAUUUAAACCUGACCUCCAGCUUUUACAUCUCCGAGCAGCAUUCUUCGCUUCGAUGCGUGAAACUACAGACGCUAUCAGAGACUGUGAAGCAGCUUUGAGUAUUGAUCCAUGCCACAAAGAUACCAUCAACCUCUAUCACAAAGUACGUGAACCACAGGCAUAGGCAAACCCAUCUGCCAACUUAUAUAUAUCCUAAACUAUGGCGAGAGCUUCUUUCAUCUAAAACCACAUAUACUUGUAUGGCUAUGCCAUUUCAUAUCCAUUACGGAACAUUC
rnacentral:lncRNA from 1 species